rnacentral:rRNA from 1 species
UACGUAGGGUCCGAGCGUUGUCCGGAAUUAUUGGGCGUAAAGGGCUCGUAGGCGGUCUGUUGCGUCGGCCGUGAAAACCUGCAGCUUAACUGUGGGCGUGCGGUCGAUACGGGCAUCACUGGAGUUCGGCAGGGGAGACUGGAAUUCCUGGUGUAGCGGUGAAAUGCGCAGAUAUCAGGAGGAACACCGGUGGCGAAGGCGGGUCUCCUGGGCCGAUACUGACGCUGGAGGAAGCGAAAGCGUGGGGAGCAAACAGG